rnacentral:rRNA from 1 species
AGCCUGCGAGGGGGAGGCAAAUCCCAGAAAUAACGUCUCAGUUCGGAUUGGAGUCUGCAACCCGACUCCAUGAAGCUGGAUUCGCUAGUAAUCGCGCAUCAGCCACGCCGCGGUGAAUACGUUCCCGGGCCUUGUACACACCGCCCGUCAAGCCAUGGAAGCCGGGAGUGCCUGAAGUGCGUGAGCGCAAGCAGCGCCCUAAGGUAAAACCGGUGACUGGGGCUAAGUCGUAACAAGGUAAC